GUUUGAUUUGAUUUCUAAAAUAUGAUAAUUCGGUUAAUUCGAUUUUAAUGAUUCAGAUCGAUUCGAUUUGAAUUGAAUGCUCAGCCCUAUGAGUAGUUACUUACAACAACCAGCAAUUGAAACUUGGUUUAUUAUAGCAUCCAAAGUUCUGUUUUUUGUUCUUUUGGAGGAAAUAUAAUCUGAUGUUGAGUCAAUGUGUUCCUGUGCGUGGUGGCAUUUUAAUUGAUAUUGCAUUAUGUUUUGUGUAGAGACAGUAAAUUAUACUUGCAAAAACAAACACCGUACACCAAUUAAUUCAAUGGAGCUUGUUAUUAUCUUGGCUAUAAAUUUUGGUGCCCCACUUUUUUGAUUGUGAACUCGUAACAAUCAAUUGAUUACCCUCUUUGUAGCAAAGUUUUUCAUGUUCUUUCAUGAGCUUGUUACAUGGCAAGAUUGGGAUGGCUAAUCAAGCUAAGAAUUACUACUCAACUUACCAUGAGUUGCAUGCCAAACUAGCAGG
rnacentral:misc_RNA from 1 species